AUACGGAGGGUGCAAGCGUUAUCCGGAUUUAUUGGGUUUAAAGGGUGCGCAGGCGGACCUGUCAGUCAGUGGUGAAAUCCCGGGGCUCAACCCCGGAACUGCCAUUGAUACUACAGGUCUUGAAUACGGUUGAAGUAGGCGGAAUGUAGCAUGUAGCGGUGAAAUGCAUAGAUAUGCUACAGAACACCGACCGCGAAGGCAGCUUACUAAGCCGAUAUUGACGCUCAGGCACGAAAGCGUGGGGAGCGAACAGGAUUAGAAACCCUAGUAGUCC
rnacentral:rRNA from 1 species